CCUACGGGAGGCAGCAGUGGGGAAUCUUGCGCAAUGGGCGAAAGCCUGACGCAGCCAUGCCGCGUGAAUGAUGAAGGUCUUAGGAUUGUAAAAUUCUUUCACCGGGGACGAUAAUGACGGUACCCGGAGAAGAAGCCCCGGCUAACUUCGUGCCAGCAGCCGCGGUAAUACGAAGGGGGCUAGCGUUGCUCGGAAUUACUGGGCGUAAAGGGAGCGUAGGCGGAUAGUUUAGUCAGAGGUGAAAGCCCAGGGCUCAACCUUGGAAUUGCCUUUGAUACUGGCUAUCUUGAGUACGGAAGAGGUAUGUGGAACUCCGAGUGUAGAGGUGAAAUUCGUAGAUAUUCGGAAGAACACCAGUGGCGAAGGCGACAUACUGGUCCGUUACUGACGCUGAGGCUCGAAAGCGUGGGGAGCAAACAGGAUUAGAUACCCUGGUAGUCCACGCUGUAAACGAUGAGUGCUAGUUGUCGGCAUGCAUGCAUGUCGGUGACGCAGCUAACGCAUUAAGCACUCCGCCUGGGGAGUACGGUCGCAAGNUUAAAACUCAAAGGAAUUGACGG
rnacentral:rRNA from 1 species